rnacentral:rRNA from 1 species
UGGGGAAUUUUGGACAAUGGGCGAAAGCCUGAUCCAGCAAUGCCGCGUGUGUGAAGAAGGCCUUCGGGUUGUAAAGCACUUUUGUCCGGAAAGAAAUCCUUGGCUCUAAUACAGUCGGGGGAUGACGGUACCGGAAGAAUAAGCACCGGCUAACUACGUGCCAGCAGCCGCGGUAAUACGUAGGGUGCAAGCGUUAAUCGGAAUUACUGGGCGUAAAGCGUGCGCAGGCGGUUUGCUAAGACCGAUGUGAAAUCCCCGGGCUCAACCUGGGAACUGCAUUGGUGACUGGCAGGCUAGAGUAUGGCAGAGGGGGGUAGAAUUCCACGUGUAGCAGUGAAAUGCGUAGAGAUGUGGAGGAAUACCGAUGGCGAAGGCAGCCCCCUGGGCCAAAUACUGACGCUCAUGCACGAAAGCGUGGGGAGCAAACAGGAUUAGAUACCCUGGUAGUCCACGCCCUAAACGAUGUCAACUAGUUGUUGGGGAUUCACUUCCUUAGUAACGUAGCUAACGCGUGAAGUUGACCGCCUGGGGAGUACGGUCGCAAGAUU